UUAUAAUCUAACAGUGAUAUUUCUACUAAUGAACGUUUGUGGAUCUGUUUGUACUCUUUUUCUGCUUUCCUUUCAAAUGGUGGAAUAUCAUUUCCUUGCAUACUUAGAUGCCUUUGAAUGACAAAUAUUUAUUUGUCUCUAAAAAUUAUUUUUGUGCACUUUUGCGGAUUAGUAAAUAGGAAAUUUGCCAAAGAGAAUUUCAAUUGUUUUGUGAUUCUACUAAAGACACCACCAUUCUGGGACCACAUUAUGUUAAUUCUUGGCCUAAAGGUGUUCGGACGUAUGUUUGGACUGCACAUUUAAACAAUUUUUAAAUUAGUUGCUGUAAAUCAUUAACGAUUGAGUUUCUUUAAAUCUGUCCAAUCUCAAGUCAUUUUUAUUUGCCAUUUCCAGGGAAUGUGAAAUGGGACUAAUUUACCUCUGAUUCUUCUUUAUACUGAGGAUAUAAAUUUUGGUCCUAGCUUUAGGGAGGAGCUCCUGUGUGAUGCCCUAUCUUGGGAAAAUCUAUGUAUUUCUUUACUCUCCUAUGUGAUGUAUGACAGUAGGAAUCUGCACUCAUUCAUUUUGCUACAUGUCCGUAGGGCAAAAUCAGUUUCGGUGUUUAGUUAUAUUUUGUCUGCUCCCUGCAUUCCCAUUGUUUUGCCAUUAUAUUUUACUUUUAUUUGUGAACAUACCAGUGCUUCAAAUUUUUUCCAGUAAUAUAUUCAACUAUAUUAUGAGAAAGAGAAAAAUUUUGAUAAAACACAAAUUUCAUGUUUUCCUUCUCUAAUUGGCUUCUACCUAAAAAUACAGGUAAAAUUUAUUUGUGCUUUUUUGCUAUUUCAGUUUUGCUAUUCUCUGUUUGUCUAUGUCUUCUCCACAUAGACACAAUUAGGGAAUUUUGUACACUCUUGUGCCAACUGCUUUGAUAGUAAUAAAAUGUAUUUCUCGAACUCCUAGGUAUAAAACUCAAGUAUCCACAAUUUAAAUUCUUUUUUGCUCACUUCUAUUAUGUUUCCAGUCUCAAUAGAAAUCGAUGCCAAUCCAGAAAUACAAGCAUUAUUCUAAUACUUCUCACACAUUACAGCAGGAGUGAGGACACAGUGAAAGUAAGACAAGGAAGAGAGAACAAAAUAAAACAGGAAAGAUAGAAAAGCCAAUACCACACGUGUUAAGAGUUUCAAGGAAAAUGUGUUGGGAGUUCCUGGCAUAGAGAAUGUCACAAAGAUAUGUUUUCAAUAGUGGUGCUAUCCCUAGGGCAGAGAAGAUCCAGAGAAAGCCCAAGUGGCUGCUGGAACAAAGUCAGACACCGUGCCACCUGUCCACACUCCUUGGCUCUGCCAUCAUGCUGAAGAUUGGUUUAAAGGUCUGGCUUCCCUCCCCGCAAAAUUAAAAGAGCACAAACUGAGAAACUGAAUGUGGGAGACAGCAGUGGGUUAUGCUGUUCUCAGGGGUCACCUCAGGUUUGGAAGCGUUCUUUCAAAUUAACCCAUCUCAGGCCAUCUGCAGAGAAGAAAGGUGGUACCUAACAUUUUUUCUUGUCAGCACUUGGUAGGGGUGUUUUAUUGACCAAAUAUGUUCCCACAACCUAGUUUUUUGUAACUAAAUAUAGUAGAUUUUUAAAUUUUAUCAUCAAAAUCUAUAGACAAUUUUUUAUUAAAAUAGGCUCCACAUCUAUGUCCUGCUUUUCUUCUUAUUAAUUACAUUGCUGUAUGAAAGAACAAGACUUCAGAAUCAAGAAUAUCUUGUCUCUUGGCAUUGAAUUUAUACAAGGUGCUCUUUCUUUAAUGCUGUCUCAAAGGGCAUAUUUUUACUCAUUAAAAAGGAAGAUCAGAAUCUAGUUGUAUGCACUGCUCCAACGUAUUAAUAAUUAAAAUUAGGAUGUAAAUGUGGUCAAAGCUAUAGAAAGAUUUGGGAUGUCGUUUAUAUUGAUUACUGUAUAGCACUCUACAAACAGAAAUUGUGAAAUAAUAGCUUAUAUAAAUAUUUUGUAGCAUUUCAAAUAUUAGAGUGCCUGAAGUUUCUCCUCUUAUAUAGUUCAGAUUAUCAAUUUGAAUAGUUACUCCACUGGUUAAAAAGUUUUUAGUCUCGUUUCAGUAUUAAUAUAAAAGCAAUUUUCAGUUAAAAGUGUUCCGCUUACAUAAAACAUUAGAAACUAGUGAGUAUUUAAUUACAUUUUCGUAUUCCUGUAAUGCCUUUAGAAGAUUUUCAUAUUAUUACCUAUCAAUAUAUGUAUGCUUUGUCUAAGAAAAAUCAAUCAUAUACAUCAUUGAAAUGGAAACUUUUUAAAAGUACUUAUUAAUUCUAUUGAAAAACCACAUCCAUAGGAGCAAUUACAAUAUAAUAUUGUGAACAUGUAAAUAUAUAUCCUAUGUCUAUUUUAUAUAGAAGCAUAUGUGAUUAAAAAUAUAGUUAAUAAUUUUUAAACCUAGUUUCAUAAAGUAAAAAUUAGUUAAACUUCUGAUGAUUAUUUGUUAAUUAAGAUAAAAUU
rnacentral:lncRNA from 1 species